AUUUAAAAAUUAGCUGCCACAAAUAUUAUCCCCCAUCUGGGCACAAGGUGUAAGCUCAUCCUACACAUGUCAUUUGGACCAGACCAAGGCUGCUGUCAUGGAGGACCCACACCACAGCUUGGGAACCAUUCAUCUACCAGAGGGUCACAUGACUUCAAAUGACUCUUCUAGGGGCCACCUGCCAUGAUAGGGUACCAGCUCUUCCUCUGAAUUCCCAAUCCAUUUCUUGAGAACUACUGUUUCUAAUAAGAGUUUUUGUUCCAUGUGAGAUACCCACGCCACUUUAAAAAACAAACUAUCCUGACAUCUAAUUACUUUGUGAAUGAUUGUAAUGGCAAUAACAAUAGAGAUGGAAGAAUUUUGGAAACAAUACUAGUUUCACAGCUUUCAUGUGAGAUGCCAAGGUUUUAGCAUCGUCAGAUUGGCAAUGAGAUUGGAUAACUUCUGGGGUCUUUUUGAAAUUAUAUCUUUCUUUUCUCUAGGAUCCUACUUCUGGAAAAUAAGAUUAAUACUAAUACUAAUAAGACACAAAGAUUUUUAAUGGAAAUAGGAAUAUCUUCAAAGGCUGGAUGGACAUUGCAUGCACUGUAUGACAACAUUCGUGUAUAAUAAGAUCCUUUCCUUAGAGAAUGGGGCAAAUCCAGAUGGAAUGUGAGAAAGACUUCAAGGUUUCAGUGGAAUAUGCUUAUAUUGGGAAUUGUAUUAGUUAAGACUAGGUUUGGCUGCACAUGACAGAAAACCCAACAUAGUCACUUACACAGGAUUAAAACAUUUCCUUGUCAUAUGAAAGUCUAGAAGUGGUAUGUAGCUCUGGGUGUCAGGGAUGAAGAUUCCUUCUAACUGGGAACCCAGCUUCCCAUUUCAAAGAUUGCUUCAUAUUCAAAAUGGCUGCUGGGUCUCCAGGUAUAGAGUCCACCUUCCAGCUAGAAGAACAAAGAACCAAAAUGAGGCGUGUUCUCCCCUGUAAGGAUACUUUCGUAAGUUGAAUAGGAUGCUUUCAUAAGCAUCUCAUUGGCCAGACUGGUUAGAACUUAGUAACUGGCCACAAUCAGCUGGAAAGAAGGCUGGCAAAUAGAAUAUUUAAGGUGGUCACUGUAAUCAGCAAAAAAAUCAUGAGUUACAUAAUAUAUAGAAAAGGAGAACAAGCACAGAAUGACAACUAGCAGUGUCUGCAUAUCAUUCUUCCAAGCAAAUAAAUGGAAAUAAAAAAAAAAUCUUUACUCCAA
rnacentral:lncRNA from 1 species